rnacentral:rRNA from 1 species
GACGAACGCUGGCGGCGCGCCUAACACAUGCAAGUCGAACGAGCGAGAGAGAGCUUGCUUUCUCAAGCGAGUGGCGAACGGGUGAGUAACGCGUGAGGAACCUGCCUCAAAGAGGGGGACAACAGUUGGAAACGACUGCUAAUACCGCAUAAGCCCACGACCCGGCAUCGGGUAGAGGGAAAAGGAGCAAUCCGCUUUGAGAUGGACGCGCGUCCGAUUAGCUAGUUGGUGAGGUAACGGCCCACCAAGGCGACGAUCGCUAGCCGGACAGAGAGGUUGAACGGCCACAUUGGGACUGCAACACGGCCAGGACUCAUACGGGAGGCAGCAGUGGGGAAUAUUGCACAAUGGAGAGAACCCUGAUGCAGCGACGCCGCGUAGAGGAAGAAGGUCUUCGGAUUGUAAACUCCUGUUGUUGAGGAAGAUAAUGACGGUACUCAACAAGGAAGUGACGGCUAACUACGUG